rnacentral:tRNA from 1 species
GGGGCGUACCGAGUGGAUCGGAAGCCGACUGUAAAUCGGCUGCGUCAGCACUGCAGGUUCGAUUCCUGCACGCCCCA